rnacentral:lncRNA from 1 species
AAAGGUACAGGAGGAAAGGAGUAAGGGAGACCUGCAGAGAUUGUCAAGAGAGUUGUGUGUCCAAACACCACACUGAAAUGCAAGCUCCAUGAGGAUAAAGAUUUCUGUCCUGUGUGUUCAAUAUUAUAGACCCAGCACUGGCCUAGCACAGUAUCUGGAGAUGCUCUCUGCACAUGCUGCCACCACAGGGGAUGAGGAAGAGGUGGCAUCGGUGAUUCAAGGCUGUUUUUUCCACCUCUUCAGUGCCUCAUACUGUGAUACAAACCAAAACCAGAUUCAGGAGGUACAUGUGCAGGUAUGAUGACUGGGUAUACUCCAUGAUGCUGAGGUUUGCAGUACCAAUGAUCCUGUCACCUACGUACUGAUUAUAGUCCCCAGUAGUUUUUCAACACUUGCUCUCCUCUCUCCCUCCCCCACCAGUAGUCCCCAGUUUAUACUGUUGCCAUCUCUAUGUCCAUGAGUACUCAAUGUUUAGCUCCCACUUAUAAAUAAAAACAUG